rnacentral:rRNA from 1 species
AGUGAACGCUGGCGGUAGGCCUAACACAUGCAAGUCGAACGGCUGAAGAGUAAGUGCUUGUUCUUACGGGUGCCGACUGGUGGACAGGUCCGAGGAACCUCGGUAUCUGUUUUUUAGAAGGGGCUGACACAGGCACUAAUACGCCAUUCGCGCAUACGACCUAAGGGUGGAAGCAUCGGACCUUAGGCUCUUACGUGAGUCUAUGUCCCGAUGUCGGAUUAGCUAGUUGGCGGGGUAAAGGCCCACCAAGGCGACGAUCCGUAGCUGGUCUGAGAGGAUGAUCAGCCACACUGGAACUGAGACACGGUCCAGACUCCUACGGGAGGCAGCAGUGGGGAAUAUUGGACAAUGGGCGCAAGCCUGAUCCAGCCAUACCGCGUGGGUGAAGAAGGCCUUCGGAUUGUAAAGCCCUUUUGUUUGGGAAGAAAGGCAGUAGGUUAAUACCCCGCUGUUCUGACGGUACCCAAAGAAUAAGCACCGGCUAACUUCGUG